rnacentral:rRNA from 1 species
AGAGAGAGACAUGCGCGCAUAUCAAUAAGCGGAGGAAAAGAAACUAACAAGGAUUCCCCUAGUAACGGCGAGUGAAGCGGGAAGAGCUCAAAUUUGAAAUCUUCAAGGUUUUACCUUGACGAAUUGUAGUUUAAAGAAGUGUUUUCUGUUGAAGUUUCGGUAAAAGUUCUUUGGAAUAGGACAUCAUAGAGGGUGAGAAUCCCGUAUUUGGUCAUUCCUCCUAGCUGUUGUGAUACACUUUCAACGAGUCGGAUUGUUUGGGAAUGCAGUCCAAAAUGGGAUGGUAAAUUUCAUCUAAAGCUAAAUAUUGGCGAGAGACCGAUAGCGAACAAGUACCAUGAGGGAAAGAUGAAAAGAACUUUGAAAAGAGAGUUAAACAGUACGUGAAAUUGUCAAAAGGGAAGCGUUUGACACCAGUGUUGUUUUUCCGAAAAUCAAUUACGAAUGUUUUGUUUUUAGGAGUUAUGACUUCAUCGGCUUGCUCCUUUCUUUACGAAACUUUCUUAAUGCACCUUUCGGUUAACAAGUCAACAUCAAUUUCUUUUGUUGUAAAAGGGUAAGAGGAAGGUGGCUUACUCUUCGGCGUAAAGUGUUUAUAGCCUUGUACCUCUGCAAUCGGAGAGAUUGAGGUCUGCAGCGUAGAUCCUUCGGGGUUAGAUACAUUGUGCUAAGCUAUAGCCUUGUAUAGACAACUUGUUGACUAUGCUCAGUCAUGUAGCUUACUCGCUUAUGCUAUUUUACCUACGCUUAGGAUGUUGAUCUGUAGUGCGUGCGC